rnacentral:lncRNA from 1 species
AAAUAUUCGAAAAGGAGGUUAAGGAAAAAUUAGAGGAGGAAAAAAUGAGGAGUUAGUUGCAGAUGAAGUUAAAGGAUACACCUUUGAUCAAUUCAUAGAUAAAAACUCACCAUGAAUGAGAAUCAAGAAACAAAUUCUGAAUGAACCAAACCCAGAGCUACCAGGUUACGUUAAACCACCUUACCCAAUCAUGAAAAAUAAACCGAG